GGACUACCGGGGUAUCUAAUCCCAUUUGCUCCCCUGGCUUUCGUUCCUCAGCGUCAGUUAUGGCCCAGUAAGUCGCCUACGCCACCGGUGUUCUUCCUGAUAUCUACGCAUUUCACCGCUACACCAGGAAUUCCACUUACCUCUACCACACUCCAGUCUGCCAGUAUCCAAUGCACUCCCAGGGUUGGGCCCUGAUCUUUAACAUCGGACUUAACAAACCGCCUACGAACUCUUUACGCCCAAUAAAUCCGGACAACGCUUGCAUCCUACGUCUUACCGCGGCUGCUGGCAC
rnacentral:rRNA from 1 species